rnacentral:rRNA from 1 species
CACGCAGUAAACGAUGAGCACUGACUGUGCGGGGCGAACGGGCCCUGCGCGGUAAAGCGAAAGCGUUAAGUGCUCCACCUGGGGAGUACGCCGGCAACGGUGAAACUCAAAGGAAUUGACGGGGGCCCGCACAAGCGGAGGAACAUGUGGUUUAAUUCGAUGAUACGCGAGGAACCUUACCCGGGCUCAAACGACAGGGGAACCGUCGGGAAACCGGCGGGCCGGCAACGGCCGCUGUCGAGGUGC